GGUCCCGUAGUGUAGCGGUUAUCACGUCGCCCUGUCACGGCGAAGAUUGCGGGUUCGAUUCCCGUCGGGACCG
rnacentral:tRNA from 2 species